ACAGAAAAAUGGCACGAUGGGGGUGACCCCUACCACGCAAAGCCAAGGAUCUCGGUCAGGAGCCGAGAGAGCCGGGUUGCCUGU
rnacentral:ncRNA from 1 species